GACGAACGCUGGCGGCGUGCUUAACACAUGCAAGUCGAACGGAAAGGCCCUGCUUUUGUGGGGUGCUCGAGUAGCGAACGGGUGAGUAACACGUGAGUAACCUGCCCUUGACUUUGGGAUAACUUCAGGAAACUGGGGCUAAUACCGGAUAGGAGCUCCUGCUGCAUGGUGGGGGUUGGAAAGUUUCGGCGGUUGGGGAUGGACUCGCGGCUUAUCAGCUUGUUGGUGGGGUAGUGGCUUACCAAGGCUUUGACGGGUAGCCGGCCUGAGAGGGUGACCGGCCACAUUGGGACUGAGAUACGGCCCAGACUCCUACGGGAGGCAGCAGUGGGGAAUAUUACAUAAUGGGCGGAAGCCUGAUGCAGCAACGCCGCGUGCGGGAUGACGGCCUUCGGGUUGUAAACCGCUUUCGCCUGUGACGAAGCGUGAGUGACGGUAAUGGGUAAAGAAGCACCGGCUAACUACGUG
rnacentral:rRNA from 1 species